AUUGAACGCUGGCGGCAGGCCUAACACAUGCAAGUCGAGCGGAUGAAGGGAGCUUGCUCCUGGAUACAGCGGCGGACGGGUGAGUAAUGCCUAGGAAUCUGCCUGGUAGUGGGGGAUAACGUCCGGAAACGGGCGCUAAUACCGCAUACGUCCUGAGGUAGAAAGUGGGGGAUCUUCGGACCUCACGCUAUCAGAUGAGCCUAGGUCGGAUUAGCUAGUUGGUUGGGUAAAGGCCUACCAAGGCGACGAUCCGUAACUGGUCUGAGAGGAUGAUCAGUCACACUGGAACUGAGACACGGUCCAGACUCCUACGGGAGGCAGCAGUGGGGAAUAUUGGACAAUGGGCGAAAGCCUGAUCCAGCCAUGCCGCGUGUGUGAAGAAGGUCUUCGGAUUGUAAAGCACUUUAAGUUGGGAGGAAGGGCAGUAAGUUAAUACCUUGCUGUUUUGACGUUACCAACAGAAUAAGCACCGGCUAACUUCGUG
rnacentral:rRNA from 1 species